GAUGAACGCUGGCGGCGUGCCUAAUACAUGCAAGUCGAGCGAACGGACGAGGAGCUUGCUCCUUUGACGUUAGCGGCGGACGGGUGAGUAACACGUGGAUAACCUACCUAUAAGACUGGGAUAACUUCGGGAAACCGGAGCUAAUACCGGAUAAUAUAUUGAACCGCAUGGUUCAAUAGUGAAAGACGGUUUUGCUGUCGCUUAUAGAUGGAUCCGCGCCGCAUUAGCUAGUUGGUAAGGUAACGGCUUACCAAGGCAACGAUGCGUAGCCGACCUGAGAGGGUGAUCGGCCACACUGGAACUGAGACACGGUCCAGACUCCUACGGGAGGCAGCAGUAGGGAAUCUUCCGCAAUGGGCGAAAGCCUGACGGAGCAACGCCGCGUGAGUGAUGAAGGUCUUCGGAUCGUAAAACUCUGUUAUUAGGGAAGAACAAAUGUGUAAGUAACUAUGCACGUCUUGACGGUACCUAAUCAGAAAGCCACGGCUAACUACGUG
rnacentral:rRNA from 1 species